rnacentral:rRNA from 1 species
UACGGGGGGGGCAAGCGUUGUUCGGAAUUACUGGGCGUAAAGGGCUCGUAGGCGGCCAACUAAGUCCGACGUGAAAUCCCCAGGCUUAACCUGGGAACUGCGUCGGAUACUGGAUGGCUUGAAUUCGGGAGAGGGAUGCAGAAUUCCAGGUGUAGCGGUGAAAUGCGUAGAUAUCUGGAGGAACACCGAUGGCGAAGGCAGCUCGCUGGGACGGUACUGACGCUGAGGCGCGAAAGCGUGGGGAGCAAACAGG